rnacentral:lncRNA from 1 species
UUUACCUAUAAGUUAGUUAGAUAAUAUAUUUUUUUUAUUUCUUGAAGACAGAGAUAGUAGAUAGGUGCUUUGUUAUGUUAGUUUUUUCCUGCAUUAUCAAUCAUGUUUUAUAAGAGUUGUGAUGCAUAUGUUGUGCAGUUAUUGUUUUGAUUGUUUGUAUGUUUAAAUAUCUCUAUGAGAGGGAAAGGAAAUCCAUUUUAACAUCUGUUUUAUAAUACUUUGUUAAUAUUAGAUGUGUAUUAUCAUGUAGAUAUGUAUUCAAUAUAUGGUGCUGUUAAAGCUUAUUGUUGUGGCAGAGAGGAUAGGAAGCUUCUUUCUAUUUUUAAGGAAAAGUGGGGGUUUGUGGACACUAAAAAAUUUAGAAAUGGCAUUAAGUAAUAUGCUUGUUUUUCAACUUGUGACCGAAUAUCUUUAAUUUUUUCUUCAUUUAAAUUCAUGCCCAUAUUUUAGGGUAAUAUAGAAUCUUUAAAAUGAUCUUGUUGUUUAUGCCAUUAAAAUGUUCAGUAUAUUUUUGUCAGAAUUUCUUUGAAAAGCCAAAACAAAAAAAAUGCAUAUUUGUAAAUAGGAGCUUAAUUUCACUUUAAGGUAAUAUUUUUGUCCCCAAACUUUUGUUUCAUAAUUUUAGUUAUUAACAAAGUUCUAACUUAACACUGCUUGCUUACAUGCAUAGUUGACCAGUUUAGUUUUAUUUCUUCAGGUCUUUUAGUCAUUAUUUUGUUGGAUAUUUUUUAACAUUGUUAAAACACCAAUAGGUUGUGAGUUUAAAAUGUUUUUAUUUUACAUAGUUUAUUGUUUUUUUGUUUAUGUAUAAUUUUGGGGUAAUGGUUGUGUGUAAUAUUCUCUUUUUUUCCCUCACUUUAUUAAAGCAAUCAAAUUUUGUAUUUUACACGAUUAAAAGAACUUUAUAUUUUUCUUUUUGUAAACAAUUGAUGUUGUACUAAUAAGUUAAACUUCUGUUUAGGUAUAUAAUUAUGUAGGAGUUUGUUUAUUUUGUGUCAGUCUUUCUGUAUUUGAGUUGUUACGCCUAUAUUGUAUCAGUUUUGUAAAUGCUCAAAAUCUUUUUGUUCUAGAUCUGACAAUCUGUAUAGAUUUAAAACUUACCUAUAUAUAUGUUGUUAUAAAUAAUGUCAUUGAAGAUUAAGAUCUGUCAUAAUUUUGUUUAAUUCGUCGUUUCAGAAUCUAAGGUAUACUGGGUAAUAUUUUUAAAUAGCUACAUUAAAAUGUUUUGAUCUGCCAAUUAAGCCCAAUUAAGUUAAUUGGUUAAUAUUAUUCUUGUUGUAUGUGAUAAGAACAAUCAAAUUGCUCUUUGUCCUUUGACAUUCUGAAAUGUUAAUUCUUCUUAACUACUUGAUCAAUAUCAUGGCUAUAAAUGGCUUCUUUUUUUAGGGUAAAAUGAAAAGUGUUGGCAAUAUAUUUAUCUCUUCUUUAUUUUAUUUUAUAAUUUUUGUGUUAGAUUCUGUCGUAUUAGAACUUGUUAUUGUGACAUGACUGUAAGUGUUGCUCUACACCUAUUGCAGUUCAUAUAAAGUUCUGACCAAAUUGCAAUUUGUCCUUUCAUAAUGUGCAUUAUCAUCAUAAGCAUCAUGUACAAUACAAUUAAUGAUGUUGUUGCAACCAAGCUAGAAAUUGGAAAAUAUUUCUGUAUUCAUAUCAUAUUGCAUGACUCACCUGAAUCAAAUUUCUUGGACGCAAUAUUAAUUGCGGUAACAUGUAUAAUUCUGAAUUGGUCUAUUUGUACUACAUGUAUUGUAAAAUAUUUACACCUAUAAUUUACCAGGGUAGAGUUUCAAUCACUGUAAGCUUUCUCAUCACUCAUACUCAGUUAAUCAGUGCAAUAUAAUUAGAAUCUCUAUUACACAUGUAAUACACUUUGUUUGUCUUAUUACACAUGUAGGUUGUGUGUUACACAUGUAGGUUAUGUAUAAAAGAUGUAGGUUAACUUAGCAUUCCGCCUUUACAUUCCUUUUUUGUUACUUUUGGUCUUUGUUUACUAAUUUAAUAAAGCUAAUAUAUAUAAUAUGUCAAUAAAGUUUCUUUUAUUAUCAACUUA